rnacentral:rRNA from 1 species
CUACGGGAGGCACCAGUCGAGAAUCUUCCGCAAUGGGCGAAAGCCUGACGGAGCAAUGCCGCGUGUAGGAUGAAGGCCUUUGGGUUGUAAACUACUGUCACCGGGGAUGAAUAUUGACAGUACCCGGAGAGGAAGCCACGGCUAACUACGUGCCAGCAGCCGCGGUAAUACGUAGGUGGCGAGCGUUGUUCGGAUUUAUUGGGCGUAAAGGGUUCGUAGGGGGUUAUUUACGUCUGAUGUGAAAUCCCGCGGCUUAACCGCGGAACUGCAUUGGAAACUGAGUAACUAGAGGAUCGGAGAGGAGAGUGGAAUUCCGGGAGUAGCGGUGGAAUGCGUAGAUAUCCGGAAGAACACCGACAGCGAAGGCAGCUCUCUGGACGAUUCCUGACCCUGAGGGACGAAAGCGUGGGUAGCAAACAGGAUUAGAUACCCUAGUAGUC